GACGAACGCUGGCGGCGUGCCUAAUACAUGCAAGUCGAACGAGUGGCGGACGGGUGAGUAAUAUAUCGGAAAGUGCCCAGUAGAGGGGGAUAACUACUCGAAAGAGUGGCUAAUACCGAAGACUAUUGGAGUGGCCGAUAUCGGAUUAGCUAGAUGGGGGGGUAAAGGCUAACUAAGGCAACGAUCCGUAGCUGGUUUGAGAGGACGACCGGCCACACGGGAACUGAGACACGGCCCAGACUCCUGCGGGAGGCAGCAGUGGGGAAUUUUGGACAAUGGGGGAAACCCGGAUCCAGCCAUCCCGCGUGUAUGAGAAGGCCUUCGGGUUGUAAAGUACUUUUGGCAGAGAAGCGGUAUCUGCAGAAUAAGCACCGGCUAACUACGUGCCAGCAGCCGCGGUAAUUC
rnacentral:rRNA from 1 species